rnacentral:rRNA from 1 species
UACGUAGGGGGGCAAGCGUUGUCCGGAUUUAUUGGGCGUAAAGAGCGUGUAGGCGGCCAUACAGGUCAGCUGUGAAAACUCGAGGCUCAACCUCGAGACGUCGGUUGAAACCGUAUGGCUAGAGUCCGGAAGAGGAGAGUGGAAUUCCCGGUGUAGCGGUGAAAUGCGCGGAUAUCGGGAAGAACACCCGUGGCGAAGGCGGCUCUCUGGGACGGUACUGACGCUGAGGAGCGAAAGCGUGGGGAGCGAACAGG